rnacentral:tRNA from 1 species
GCGCCCGUAGCUCAAUUGGAUAGAGUGCUUGGCUACGAACCAAGAGGUUGGGAGUUCGAUUCUCUCCGGGCGCACCA